rnacentral:rRNA from 1 species
GACGAACGCUGGCGGCGUGCUUAACACAUGCAAGUCGAACGGAAAGGCCCUGCUUUUGUGGGGUGCUCGAGUGGCGAACGGGUGUGUAACACGCGUGUAACCUGCCCUUGACUUUGGGAUAACUUCAGGAAACUGGGGCUAUUACCGGAUAGGAGCUCCUGCUGCAUGGUGGGGGAUGGAAAGAUUCGGCGGUUGGGGAUGGACUCGCGGCUUAUCAGCUUGUUGGUGGGGUAGUGGCUUACCAAGGCUUUGACGGGUAGCCGGCCUGGGAGGGGGACCGGCGACAAUGGGACUAAGAGACGGCCCAGAAGCCUACGGGAGGCAGCAGUGGAGAAUAUGGCGGAAUGGGGGGAAGCCAGAGACAGCAACGCCGCGUGCGGGAUGACGUCCUUCGAGGUAAAAACCGCUGUCGCCGGUGACAAAGCGUGAGUGACGGUAAUGGGUAAGGAAGCAACGGCUAACUACGUG